GCUGCGGUAAAUCCCGCAGUCGGGACUUCGCAAUCCUGGCAAAACGAAGCGCACAACACGCGCCAGCGUGUUUUUU
rnacentral:sRNA from 1 species